GUGGGGAAUCUUGCGCAAUGGGCGAAAGCCUGACGCAGCCAUGCCGCGUGAAUGAUGAAGGUCUUAGGAUUGUAAAAUUCUUUCACCGGGGACGAUAAUGACGGUACCCGGAGAAGAAGCUCCGGCUAACUUCGUGCCAGCAGCCGCGGUAAUACGAAGGGGGCUAGCGUUGCUCGGAAUUACUGGGCGUAAAGGGCGCGUAGGCGGACAGCUUAGUCAGAGGUGAAAGCCCAGGGCUCAACCUUGGAAUUGCCUUUGAUACUGGCUGUCUUGAGUUUGGGAGAGGUGAGUGGAACUCCGAGUGUAGAGGUGAAAUUCGUAGAUAUUCGGAAGAACACCAGUGGCGAAGGCGACUCACUGGCCCAAUACUGACGCUGAGGCGCGAAAGCGUGGGGAGUAAACAGGAUUAGAAACCCGGGUAGUCC
rnacentral:rRNA from 1 species